rnacentral:rRNA from 1 species
AAGGUAUGGGGGGGUCUGGGCUUUAAGGAUUUGGAGCUUUUUAACCUUGCUAUGCUGGCUAAGCAAGCCUGGCACAUCUUGCAGAACCCGGAUAGCAUGUGCUCAUGUUUAAUUAAAGGUAUAUACUACCCUCAUGGUACCAUCCUGAACGCUCAUCUAGGCAGUGCCCCGAGUCAAGUAUGGAGGUCCUUAUUGGAAGGA